rnacentral:rRNA from 1 species
GAUGAACGCUGGCGGCGUGCUUAACACAUGCAAGUCGAGCGAGAAAUUAACUAUUGAUCCUUCGGGUGAUUUAGUUAAUGGAAAGCGGCGGACGGGUGAGUAACGCGUGGGUAACCUGCCAUACACAGGGGGAUAACAGUUGGAAACGACUGCUAAUACCGCAUAAGCUGACAGCAUCACAUGGUGCAGUUAGAAAAACUCCGGUGGUGUAUGAUGGACCCGCGUCUGAUUAGCUAGUUGGUAAGGUAAUGGCUUACCAAGGCGACGAUCAGUAGCCGGCCUGAGAGGGCGGACGGCCACAUUGGGACUGAGACACGGCCCAAACUCCUACGGGAGGCAGCAGUGGGGAAUAUUGCACAAUGGGGGAAACCCUGAUGCAGCGACGCCGCGUGAAGGAAGAAGGUUUUCGGAUCGUAAACUUUCUAUCAGUGGGGAAGAAAUUGACGGUACCAACUAAGAAGCCCCGGCUAACUACGUGCCAGCGCCGCGGUAA